GAUGAACGCUGACAGAAUGCUUAACACAUGCAAGUCAACUGUGGCGGACGGGUGAGUAACGCGUAAAGAACUUGCCUCACAGAUAGGGACAACAUUUGGAAACGAAUGCUAAUACCUGAUACUGUGAGAGAGCUUUGCGUCCCAUUAGCUAGUUGGAGAGGUAACGGCUGACCAAGGCGAUGAUGGGUAGCCGGCCUGAGAGGGUGAUCGGCCACAAGGGGACUGAGACACGGCCCUUACUCAUACGGGAGGCAGCAGUGGGGAAUAUUGGACAAGGGACCAAAGUCUGAUCCAGCAAUUCUGUGGGAACGAUGAAGUUUUGGGAAUGAAGAGUGCUAUAAGUUGGGAAGCAGUGCCAGCAGAAGAAGAGACGGCUAAAUACGUGCCAGCAGGCGCGGUAAUUC
rnacentral:rRNA from 1 species